rnacentral:rRNA from 1 species
GUAGGGAAUAUUGCACAAUGGGGGAAACCCUGAUGCAGCGACGCCGCGUGAGUGAUGAAGGCCUUCGGGUCGUAAAGCUCUGUCGUAUGGGACUAACAAAAUGAAGGUACCAUGCAAGAAAGGAUCGGCUAACUUCGUGCCAGCAGCCGCGGUAAGACGAGGGAUCCUAGCGUUGUUCGGAAUUAUUGGGCGUAAAGCGGGUGUAGGCGGACUUAUAAGUCAGGUGUGAAAUCCCAGGGCUCAACCCUGGAAGUGCACUUGAUACUGCAAGUCUUGAGUGUGGUAGAGGCUAUUAGAAUUCCUGGUGUAGUGGUGAAAUACGUAGAUAUCAGGAGGAAUACCGGAGGCGAAGGCGGAUAGCUGGGCCAACACUGACGCUGAGACCCGAAAGCGUGGGGAUCAAACAGGAUUAGAAACCCCGGUAGUCC